ensembl:misc_RNA 7SK 7SK RNA
GGAUGUGAGGGCGAUCUGGCUGCGACAUCUGUCACCCCAUUGAUCGCCAGGGUUGAUUCGGCUGAUCUGGCUGGCUAGGCGGGUGUCCCCUUCCUCCCUCACCGCUCCAUGUGCGUCCCUCCCGAAGCUGCGCGCUCGGUCGAAGAGGACGGCCUUCCCUGAAUAGAGACGGACCGGUCUUCGGUCGAGGGUAUACGAGUAGCUGCGCUCCCCUGCUAGAACCUCCAAACAAGCUCUCAAGAAUGAAGAAUAUGUUGAAACUUACCUGAUCUCUAGUCCUAACUAGCAUAUUGAAAGUUUUUAUUUUUAAUUUAAUUA